UACGGGAGGCAGCAGUGGGGAAUAUUGCACAAUGGGCGCAAGCCUGAUGCAGCCAUGCCGCGUGUAUGAAAAAGGCCUUCGGGUUGUAAAGUACUUUCAGUCGUGAGGAAGGUGUUAAGGUUAAUAACCUUAGCAAUUGACGUUAGCGACAGAAGAAGCACCGGCUAACUCCGUGCCAGCAGCCGCGGUAAUACGGAGGGUGCGAGCGUUAAUCGGAAUUACUGGGCGUAAAGGGCACGCAGGCGGUUAAUUAAGUUGGAUGUGAAAUCCCCGGGCUUAACCUGGGAAUGGCAUUCAAGACUGGUUAGCUAGAGUCUUGUAGAGGGGGUAGAAUUCCAUGUGUAGCGGUGAAAUGCGUAGAGAUCGUGGAGGAAUACCGGUGGCGAAGGCGGCCCCUGGACAAAGACUGACGCUCAUGUGCGAAAGCGUGGGGAGCAAACAGGGAUUAGAUACC
rnacentral:rRNA from 1 species